CUGAUGCGUUGUUGGGUAGGGGAGCGUUCUGUAAGCCUGUGAAGGUGGCCUGUGAGGGUUGCUGGAGGUAUCAGAAGUGCGAAUGCUGACAUAAGUAACGAUAAAGCGGGUGAAAAGCCCGCUCGCCGGAAGACCAAGGGUUCCUGUCCAACGUUAAUCGGGGCAGGGUGAGUCGACCCCUAAGGCGAGGCCGAAAGGCGUAGUCGAUGGGAAACGGGUUAAUAUUCCCGUACUUGGUGUUACUGCGAAGGGGGGACGGAGAAGGCUAUGUUGGCCGGGCGACGGUUGUCCCGGUUUAAGCGUGUAGGCUGGUUUUCCAGGCAAAUCCGGAAAAUCAAGGCUGAGGCGUGACGACGAGGCACUACGGUGCUGAAGCAACAAAUGCCCUGCUUCCAGGAAAAGCCUCUAAGCAUCAGGUAACAUCAAAUCGUACCCCAAACCGACACAGGUGGUCAGGUAGAGAAUACCAAGGCGCUUGAGAGAACUCGGGUGAAGGAACUAGGCAAAAUGGUGCCGUAACUUCGGGAGAAGGCACGCUGACACGUAGGUGAAGUGAUUUACUCAUGGAGCUGAAGUCAGUCGAAGAUACCAGCUGGCUGCAACUGUUUAUUAAAAACACAGCACUGUGCAAACACGAAAGUGGACGUAUACGGUGUGACGCCUGCCCGGUGCCGGAAGGUUAAUUGAUGGGGUCAGCGCAAGCGAAGCUCCUGAUCGAAGCCCCGGUAAACGGCGGCCGUAACUAUAACGGUCCUAAGGUAGCGAAAUUCCUUGUCGGGUAAGUUCCGACCUGCACGAAUGGCGUAAUGAUGGCCAGGCUGUCUCCACCCGAGACUCAGUGAAAUUGAACUCGCUGUGAAGAUGCAGUGUACCCGCGGCAAGACGGAAAGACCCCGUGAACCUUUACUAUAGCUUGACACUGAACAUUGAGCCUUGAUGUGUAGGAUAGGUGGGAGGCUUUGAAGUGUGGACGCCAGUCUGCAUGGAGCCGACCUUGAAAUACCACCCUUUAAUGUUUGAUGUUCUAACGUGGACCCGUAAUCCGGGUUGCGGACAGUGUCUGGUGGGUAGUUUGACUGGGGCGGUCUCCUCCUAAAGAGUAACGGAGGAGCACGAAGGUUGGCUAAUCCUGGUCGGACAUCAGGAGGUUAGUGCAAUGGCAUAAGCCAGCUUGACUGCGAGCGUGACGGCGCGAGCAGGUGCGAAAGCAGGUCAUAGUGAUCCGGUGGUUCUGAAUGGAAGGGCCAUCGCUCAACGGAUAAAAGGUACUCCGGGGAUAACAGGCUGAUACCGCCCAAGAGUUCAUAUCGACGGCGGUGUUUGGCACCUCGAUGUCGGCUCAUCACAUCCUGGGGCUGAAGUAGGUCCCAAGGGUAUGGCUGUUCGCCAUUUAAAGUGGUACGCGAGCUGGGUUUAGAACGUCGUGAGACAGUUCGGUCCCUAUCUGCCGUGGGCGCUGGAGAACUGAGGGGGGCUGCUCCUAGUACGAGAGGACCGGAGUGGACGCAUCACUGGUGUUCGGGUUGUCAUGCCAAUGGCACUGCCCGGUAGCUAAAUGCGGAAGAGAUAAGUGCUGAAAGCAUCUAAGCACGAAACUUGCCCCGA
rnacentral:rRNA from 1 species